rnacentral:rRNA from 1 species
GACGAACGCUGGCGGCGUGCCUAAUACAUGCAAGUAGAACGCUGAAGGAGGAGCUUGCUUCUCUGGAUGAGUUGCGAACGGGUGAGUAACGCGUAGGUAACCUGCCUGGUAGCGGGGGAUAACUAUUGGAAACGAUAGCUAAUACCGCAUAAGAGUAGAUGUUGCAUGACAUUUACUUAAAAGGUGCAAUUGCAUCACUACCAGAUGGACCUGCGUUGUAUUAGCUAGUUGGUGGGGUAACGGCUCACCAAGGCGACGAUACAUAGUCGACCUGAGAGGGUGAUCGGCCACACUGGGACUGAGACACGGCCCAGACUCCUACGGGAGGCAGCAGUAGGGAAUCUUCGGCAAUGGACGGAAGUCUGACCGAGCAACGCCGCGUGAGUGAAGAAGGUUUUCGGAUCGUAAAGCUCUGUUGUAAGAGAAGAACGAGUGUGAGAGUGGAAAGUUCACACUG